rnacentral:rRNA from 1 species
AUCAACGCUGGCGGCGUGCCUAACACAUGCAAGUCGAACGCGAAAGUGCCGCAAUGCAUGAGUGAAGUGGCAGUACGGGUGAGUAACACGUGGAUGAUCCUACCUUCUAGUGGGGGAAUAACCCCGAGGGAACCUGGCUAAUACCGCAUACAUCCCGUCUUAGAGGCGGACAUCAAGCUGGGAUCGCAAGACCAGCGCUUGAAGAGGGUCCCGCGGCCGAUUAGCUAGUUGGCGGGUAAAUGCCUACCAAGGCAACGAUCGGUAGCCGGCCUGAGAGGGCACACGGCCACACUGGGCACUGAAACACGGCCCAGACUCCUACGGGAGGCAGCAGUGGGGAAUCUUGCACAAUGGGGCGCAACCCUGAUGCAGCGACGCCGCGUGAGGAUGAAGAUCCUUCGGGGUCGUAAAGCUCUUUCGAUCGGACGAUGCCUCGGGUGAAGCACUCUGAGGUGACGGUACCUGAGAGAAGAAGCUGCCGGCUAACUCCGUGCCAGCAGCCGCAGGUAAUACGGGGGCAGCAAGCGUUGUUCGGAGUUACUGGGCGUAAAGGGCUCGUGUAGGCGGUGCCUUAAGUCUGGACUGUGAAAUCUCCUCGGCUUAACCUGGGAGGGCUGCGUCUGAAUACUGACUGGACUUGAGAGUGGGGAGAGGGAAGUCGGAAUUCCAGGUGUAGCGGUGAAAUGCGUAGAUAUCAUGGAGGAACACCGGUGGCUGUAGGACGGCUAUCCUGGACCGUACACUGACGCUGAGGACACGAAAGCCAGGGGUAGCAAACAGGAUUAGAUACCCUGGUAGUCCACUGCCCUAAACGAUGAAUAUUGGUGUGACGGGUUCAUCCUGUCCGUGCCGGAGCUAACGCAGUUAAAUACGCCGCCUGGGGAGUACAGUCGCAAGGCUGAAACUCAAAGGAAUUGACGGGGGCCCGCACAAGCGGUGGAGCAUGUGGUUCAAUUCGACGCAACGCGAAGAACCUUACCCAGGCUUGAACGAGCGAGUACCACUCCGAAGGUGGAAAUCUUACCCGCAAGGGGACCUCAGUAGAGGUGCUGCAUGGCUGUCGUCAGCUCGUGUCGUGAGAUGUUGGGUUAAGUCCCGCAACGAGCGCAACCCUUGUCUGCUGUUGCCAUCAUUUAGUCUGGGCACUCUGCAGGAGACCUGCCAGGUGAUAACGUGGAGGAAGGUGGGGAUGACGUCAAGUCAGCAUGGCCUUUAUGUCAUGGGGCUACACACGUGCUACAAUGGACGGAUACAAAGCGUCCCGAACCCGCGAGGGGGAGGCUAAUCGCAGAAAGUCCGUCUCAGUUCGGAUAGCAGGCUGCAACUCGCCUGCUUGAAGUCGGAAUCGCUAGUAAUCGCGGAUCAGCACGCCGCGGUGAAUACGUUCCCGGGCCUUGUACACACCGCCCGUCACAUCACGAAAGCCGGUUGUACUAGAAGUCGCCAUACCAACCCGCAAGGGAGGGAGGCGCCUAAGGUAUGGUCGGUGAUUGGGGUG